rnacentral:rRNA from 1 species
GAUGAACGCUGGCGGCGCGCCUAAUACAUGCAAGUCGAGCGAACAGAUAAGGAGCUUGCUCCUUUGAAGUUAGCGGCGGACGGGUGAGUAACACGUGGGUAACCUACCUAUAAGACUGGGAUAACUUCGGGAAACCGGAGCUAAUACCGGAUAACAUUUAGAACCGCAUGGUUCUAAAGUGAAAGAUGGUUUUGCUACCACUUAUAGAUGGACCCGCGCCGUAUUAGCUAGUUGGUAAGGUAACGGCUUACCAAGGCGACGAUACGUAGCCGACCUGAGAGGGUGAUCGGCCACACUGGAACUGAGACACGGUCCAGACUCCUACGGGAGGCAGCAGUAGGGAAUCUUCCGCAAUGGGCGAAAGCCUGACGGAGCAACGCCGCGUGAGUGAUGAAGGGUUUCGGCUCGUAAAACUCUGUUAUUAGGGAAGAACAAAUGUGUAAGUAACUGUGCACAUCUUGACGGUACCUAAUCAGAAAGCCACGGCUAACUACGUG